AUGGAGAACAGAUGGAAGAAGGUCAAUGCUGCUUGUCUCAGUGUUUCUCCAUCACAGCAGAACAUCAUUGUGCUCCACCCAGAUCCUGAUCAGUCCUCCAUGAGGUUCACCUGGUCUGGGAAUGAAGAGCUUAACAGCUCCGGUGCAGCAUCAGAAGGGAGAGGCUUCAGUCACUUUGUAUCACUGUGGUACACGUUCGGUGCAGGAACCAGACUGGAUGUUGGAAGUGACGCCCGUCCCACCCUGACGGUGCUGCCCCCCUCCAGUGAGGAGCUGCAGCAGGAGAAGGUCACAGUCCUGUGCCUGGCCAACAAGGGCUUCCCCUCAGACUGGAGUCUGGCCUGGAAGGUGGAGGGCAGCAGCAGCAGCAGCAGCUGGGAGGAGAGCAGGAGCCCCGGGGUGCUGGAGAAGGACGGCCUCUACAGCUGGAGCAGCACCCUGAGGCUCCCUGCGGACCAGUGGAGCAAGCUGGGCUCUGUGACCUGUGAGGCCACACAGGGCUCCCAGACUCCGCUCUCAGAGACACUGAGGAGAGACCAGUGUUCCCAGUCCUGACCUGACUCACUGGGACUCUAUUACUGGUUUUACUCUGCUCCUGCUCUCUCUCUCUGCUCUCUGUAACACUGUCUCUCUCUCUCUCUUUCUCUCUCUCUCUUUCUCAUGUUCUGUCUUUCUCUCUGAUAUGUUUGCUAGUUUUCUCUAAUGUUUGUAAUUUCACUAUUUUCAGAAAAUAAAGAUCUGUUCAUCA